GCCUCCAGGCCUUGCAACACUUGGUCCGGAAGGCCCUGGAGGC
rfam:Human T-cell lymphotropic virus type 1, complete genome.